UACGUACCGUACGAACGUUAUUCGGAAUUACUGGGCUUAAAGGGUUUGUAGGCGGCCUUGUAAGUCAGGUGUGAAAUCCCUCGGCUCAACCGAGGAAUAGCGCUUGAUACUGCAUGGCUUGAGGGAGACAGAGGUACGCGGAACUUAGGGUGGAGCGGUGAAAUGCGUUGAUAUCCUAAGGAACACCGGUGGCGAAAGCGGCGUACUGGGUCUUAUCUGACGCUGAGGCACGAAAGCUAGGGGAGCGAACGGG
rnacentral:rRNA from 1 species